CCCUUAGAUGCUCUGGGCCGCACGCGCGCUACACUGGUCGAUGCAACGAGUUUCUUUCCUUGGCCGACAGGCCUGAGCAAUCUUUGAACAUCGAUCGUGAUCGGGAUAGAUUCUUGUAAUUUUUGAUCUUAAACGAGGAAUUCCUAGUAAACGCAAGUCAUCAGCUUGCAUUGAUUACGUCCCUGCCCUUUGUACACACCGCCCGUCGCACCUACCGAUUGAAUGGUCCGGUGAAAUCUCCGGACUGGCGUGAGUCGGAGCAAUCUGACAAACACCGGAAAGUUGAUUAAACCUUACCAUUUAGAGGAAGGUGAAGUCGUAACA
rnacentral:rRNA from 1 species